AAGACCCGGCAGGCGGGUAACCUGCUACUUGGGAUUUGCAAGCCCACGUGUGGAACACCUCAGAGCU
rnacentral:tRNA from 1 species